UACAGAGGGGGCAAGCGUUGUUCGGAAUUACUGGGCGUAAAGGGCGCGUAGGCGGCCUUCUAAGUCGAACGUGAAAUCCCCGGGCUCAACCCGGGAACUGCGUCCGAUACUGGAAGGCUUGAAUCCGGGAGAGGGAUGCGGAAUUCCAGGUGUAGCGGUGAAAUGCGUAGAUAUCUGGAGGAACACCGGGUGGCGAAGGCGGCAUCCUGGACCGGUAUUGACGCUGAGGCGCGAAAGCCAGGGGAGCAAAGCGGG
rnacentral:rRNA from 1 species